rnacentral:rRNA from 1 species
GACGAACGCUGGCGGCGUGCUUAACACAUGCAAGUCGAGCGGAGCGGCGAACGGGUGAGUAACGCGGGAGUAACUGCCCCCCUCCCUGGGAUAACAGUUGGACACUGCUGCUAAUACCGGAUUGUGGGGGAUGAGGAGCGGCCUAUCAGCUUGUUGGGGGGGUAGUGGCCUACCAAGGCGACGACGGGUAGCCGGCCUGGGAGGGCGACCGGCCACAUAGGGCUGGGAGACGGCCCAAACUCCUACGGGAGGCAGCAGUGGGGAAUAUUGCACAAAAGGGGAAACGCUGAUGCAGCAACGCCGGGUGGGGGAUGACGGCCUUCGGGUUGUAAACCGCUUUCAGCCAUGACGCGGUAGUGGCAGAAGAAGCAACGGCUAACUACGUGCCAGCAGCCGCGGUAAUUC